AUACGGAGGGUCCAAGCGUUAUCCGGAAUCAUUGGGUUUAAAGGGUCCGUAGGCGGGCAAUUAAGUCAGAGGUGAAAUCCCACAGCUCAACUGUGGAACUGCCUUUGAUACUGGUUGUCUUGAAUUAUAGUGAAGUAGAUAGAAUAUGUAGUGUAGCGGUGAAAUGCUUAGAUAUUACAUAGAAUACCGAUUGCGAAGGCAGUCUACAAACUGUAUAUUGACGCUGAUGGACGAAAGCGUGGGGAGCGAACAGGAUUAGAAACCCUAGUAGUCC
rnacentral:rRNA from 1 species